CGAGUCCGAGGAGCUAAGGCUCCAAAGUGAUGCGAGUCAGACUUCCCAGAAAAGCCCGAACCACGUUAAUCUCUAAUUACCUGUACCCGAAACCGACACAGGUGGGUAGGUAGAGUAUACUAAGGGGCGCGAGAUAACUCUCUCUAAGGAACUCGGCAAAAUGACUCCGUAACUUCGGGAGAAGGAGUGCCUUAUUUAUAAGGUUGCAAUAACAAGAUCCAAGCAACUGUUUAUCAAAAACACAGGUCUCCGCUAAGUCGUAAGACGAUGUAUGGGGGCUGACGCCUGCCCAGUGCCAGAAGGUUAAAGAAGUUGGUUAGUGUAUGCGAAGCUGAUGACUGAAGCCCUGGUGAACGGCGGCCGUAACAAUAACGGUCCUAAGGUGGCGAAAUUCCUUGUCGGGUAAGUUCCGACCCGCACGAAAGGCGUAAUGAUUUGGAUACUGUCUCGGAGAGAGGCUCGGUGAAAUAGACUUGUCUGUGAAGAUGCGGACUACCUGCACCAGGACAGAAAGACCCUAUGAAGCUUUACUGUAACUUGAAAUUGGAAUUGGACUUUGCUUGCGCAGUAUAGGUGGGAAGCGUUGAAAAUAUUCUUGCGGGAGUAUUGGAGCUAUCAGUGAGAUACCACUCUUGUAAUGUUAGAUUUCUAACUUUGAACCAUAAUCUGGUCAAAGAACAGUUUCAGGUGGGCAGUUUGACUGGGGCGGUCGCCUCCCAAAUGGUAACGGAGGCGUACAAAGGUUUCCUCUGAACGGAUAGAAAUCGUAUCUAGAGUGUAAAGGCAUAAGGAAGCUUGACUGUGAGACCUACAAGUCGAGCAGGGACGAAAGUCGGUCUUAGUGAUCUGACGGUACUGAGUGGAAAGGCCGUCACUCAACGGAUAAAAGUUACUCUAGGAUAACAGGCUGAUCUCCCCCAAGAGUUCACAUCGACGGGGAGGUUUGGCACCUCGAUGUCGGCUCAUCGCAUCCUGGGGCGGUAGUACGUCCCAAGGGUUGGGCUGUUCGCCCAUGAAAGCGGUACGCGAGCUGGGUUCAGAACGUCGUGAGACAGUUCGGUCCAUAUCCGGUGUAGGCGCUAGAAUAUUGAGAGGAGCCUUCUUUAGUACGAGAGGACCGAGAAGGACACACCGCUGGUGUACCAGUUAUCGUGCCAACGGUAAACGCUGGGUAGCUAUGUGUGGAGUGGAUAACCGCUGAAAGCAUCUAAGUGGGAAGCCCACCUCGAGAUGAGUAUUC
rnacentral:rRNA from 1 species